UAAACUGAAAAUCAUAAAUACCCAUUUACUAGUUCUCACAAUUAGCAACCAAAGCAACUCCAAACAACAUAGAAAAACACAAAUAAAAGCAUAAUAAUCACCAUAUCAUGAGAACAAGUAACAAGAGAAGGCAUAGCCAAUCAGUGACCCAUGUAAAUUGAGAAAUGUAAAAUAAAAGUUUCUAAAAACAAAUAGCAGUGGAAAACAAUAUAAAUCAAAGAAACCAUAGCAGAAAUGAACCCAAGAAAAAAGGAAGAAAAUACAAGAGAAUAAGAUGAAAUGAAAGGAGAGAAGAGAAGCUUACCCCAGAAUUCCAUGGAGCAAG
rnacentral:misc_RNA from 1 species